AUUGUAUUACUCAUUGAGACAUUUGAUAUUGGCACAGUACAGAAAGCGAUUUACUUGUCUUAUAAUCUUAUAAGCUAUUAUGCAGUGAAAUACCUUGGGACAGCCCUGGAAGAGCUCUGAUGGGUCUCCUGUUUUCUACAGGCCAACCAGAUGCCUCUUGACAUCUACAAGGAGAACCUCUCCCUCUGUUGCUCCUCAGCAACUGGUACUAAGGGCUAAUUGUUAGGGGGAUCACUGCAUAAUUACUCCAGAUGGAUUGGUUGAUGCAUUGUCAAUAGGUGAGGGCAUGGGAAGGUGACACACCCUCUUACCUAAUGAUGACUGAUCUGAGGUCUGGGUAUGAAAGAAACUGCAGUUUAAGAGGACAGAUAACAUAAGAGACUGUAGAGCUCUGGAAGCAUCCAGCUGAAAUGUGUGAGGCUCCAUCUGCGUGGACAUUUUGCUGGCUUUUGAAAAAGCACGUUGAUCUCUCAUCCUGAGCCUCCAGUUUAAUUGCCUUGCUGUUUCAAUAAGAUGGUUUUAUUGUCUAUUUUAUUAUUGCUGUUUCUAUUUUAGUGUUUUUACGCGAUUCAUUAUGUAUGUUAAGUAUGGACAUUUUAAUGUGCGUGUAACUGGGUUUUAUACUUUGUAAACUGCUUAGAAACCUAUUUUGGCAUUAAGCAGUAUAUACAUUAAAUCAUCAUUGUCA